AAAGAGACCUAAACAUGGGAACCUGGUGAAAUUUAAGGACCAAAGAGAGAAAACAACAUCAACAGAUCCUAAAACAAAAUUAGAAACCAGUCACAAAAAGCCAGUCAAAACUUCCAAUAAUUUAUGGGUUCAAGAUU
rnacentral:lncRNA from 1 species